UGGUUAUAACUCGCUCACCAGAGCCUAAGCUAUCCAUCACUGGUCAGUAAAACACGAUCCCACACUCCUACGACUGACGACCCAGGCCAGAAUCCUGGACAAUGCAGGCCGCAAUGCGUGAACUUUCCAGCCCAAUGCGCGCGUCCAGCAUGAUCCCCUCAUGGUGCAUGCCUGAUUAAGGCCUUCAGAUUGUGACCUGCUCUUCGUACAGAACCAACAGAAUCUUGCUUAUACAUUCGUGAGCGUCCAUGACACUACCGGCAGCAAUAAGCUCCUCGGCUAACUCCGUGCCAGACAGCCCCCGUAAUACGUAGUGGUGCGAGCGUUGAUCAAACUUACUGGGCGUAAAGCGCCCGCAGCUCCCGUUAUUACUUAAAACCUAGAUGUCAAAUCCCCAGAGUCUCAACAUGUCCGGAACUGCAUUUGAUACUGUCUCAUCUAGAGUACGACAAACGCAGAUGGAAUUCCCAGUGUAGCUGGUCCAAUGCGUACAUAUGCGG
rnacentral:rRNA from 1 species